GAGACUCAAAUUUCAAUAUCAUAUUGGUUUCAAAUGCUAAAAGAAUUUAAGACUUACUUGCAUUUAGCUAAAUAACUCUCUGUAUUAUCUGUAUCCUUUGGGGAUUAAACAUGAAUUAGAAUUACUCAUGGAUUUCCAUCAAAAUCCAUUAAGGGAAAUAUAGCCCAGAGAGAUUCUCUUACAUCUGACAUUGCUUAAUGUGCUCACAGUAUUAAAUGGAUACUCUACAACUAAGGAUUAAUUCAUUAUAUAGAAGUCACAUAUGUGAAUCUGUCUCUUUUUAAUAUUAUUUUCAUGCUUAAAAUCUGUCAUAAUAAAAUUAAAUAGAAUCUAUAUACCUGUUGAUUCUUUUUUAAUUGGAAUUACAAGGUAAUUCUUUAAAGCGACUUUUUGUUAAUGAACAUUUUUUAUCUCUAAAAAUUUAGGCUAAGAAGUUACAGUUACUUCUCUUUAUCCUUCACAUGUUAAGUCUUCUUACAUUAUCAAAGAGGCAGUAACUACACAGCAUGAAUCUGGUGCCAUAGCUAUAAUUGGCAAAGUGUCAAAAUUAUCUUGGAGAACUUGUUAAAAAUACAGAUUUUUAGGUCAUAUCUCUUUUUCUUAUCAGUUAUAAUUCACUGUAUGUUGGGAAGGAUCCAGAAGUAUGAUUUUCACUCCCAUGAUCUGCCUACAGUGGAAGCUCAGGGCACCAAGGCACCUUAGGGAAAAUGGCAGAUGUUUCAAGGAGUCCCUAACCUGCACCAAGGGCUCACACUAUUUUUCUAUUUUUUUCUAAUUGCUGAGGUCACGAGAAAUACUCACUUUUGCUGAUUCUGGAACCUAACAUCUUUCCGGCCGUGGAAAAAGAAAAAUACCUGAGAAAUCACUUACAUGGGAGGAAGCCAGUUUCUAUGUUGUGAGUUGCCCUUAUGGAAAUGUCCAUGUGGCCAGAAACUGAGGAAGGCCUUUAGCCAACAGUCGGAGAGGAGCUGAGCCUCUUGGUUCAACAGAUGGUAAGAAACUGAGGCCUGCCAACAACCACAAGAAUGGGCUUGGAAGCUGAUCCUUUAGCCCCAGGUAAGCCUUGAGAUAACUGCAGCUCAAGAAGACAGGCAGCUGGAUUGCAACCUCAUGAGAGACCCUGAAGUCUUUCUUAACAUAAUUGCUGGCUUUUCUUUUUUUUUUUUUUUUUAAGAAAAACAAAGUGAAAAUAUAUAUUAAUAACUUUAAGGAAGUAUUAAUACUUUUAUUUCUUGCUCUAUAUGUCCUUUUUUUUUUU
rnacentral:lncRNA from 1 species